rnacentral:rRNA from 1 species
UACGUAGGGGGCAAGCGUUAUCCGGAUUUACUGGGUGUAAAGGGAGCGUAGACGGAGCAGCAAGUCUGAUGUGAAAGGCAGGGGCUCAACCCCUGGACUGCAUUGGAAACUGUUGAUCUUGAGUACCGGAGGGGUAAGCGGAAUUCCUAGUGUAGCGGUGAAAUGCGUAGAUAUUAGGAGGAACACCAGUGGCGAAGGCGGCUUACUGGACGAUUACUGACGCUGAGGCUCGAAAGCGUGGGGAGCAAACAGG